rnacentral:lncRNA from 1 species
UUCUGGUUUGUGGCUUUCUGGUUUGUUGCCCUUUGCUGCCCCCUCUGGUUAUUUCUCGCAAAAUGAAAUGCAGUGAAGGGUUUUUGUCUGAGGUCUAGUGGGAUCUCACUCACUGUGCGUCUCGCACAGUAAUAGACAGCUGUGUCUUCUGCUUUCAGGUUGUUCAUUUGCAGAUAGAAGUUGGAGCUGUCCGUUGAGGCUGUGAAUCGCCCUUGAAUUGUAGGGGAAUAAUAUUGACUGCUCCAAGCUUUAUAGUAGAGAACAAGCCAUUCCAAUCCUUUUCCAGGUUUUUGUCGGACCCAGCCCAUAGCGUAGCUGUUAACAUCAAACCCAGUGACAGCACAGGUGAGUUUGUGAGAUUCUCCAGGUUUCUUCAGUACUGGAUCCGACUGGGUCAGAAUAAUUUGGGUGAGAGUGCCUGGAAUAGGAAAGGAGGGAAAAAAGUUGAAAUAGGAAAGGCAGCAGCCCACAGUUGUCACAUGAAACUCAAAAUGAAUGAAUUAAGGAAGGAAAAAGACCUUGACAUACAUGGGAAAGAAGCAACCAGUGCAAUGAGCAUUGGCAGAAAAGAAACCAUAAUGGUGAGAUAGUCUGGAUCAGAAAGAGAUGUAAUGUGCUGUUGCAGGAAGUCUGGGUGGGGUGUGAGGCUUUGAAGGCUUAAGGGGGACACUCCUUUUUGCAGCUUUGCAUAAAUCAGUGAUUAUAAGAAGGGAGUAUAUUAAUAUGGAAUCAUAUAUUUGGCCUUUUCUUCAAGUGUGCGCUUAAAACAUCUAUGCCACAGAUUACAAAGGAUGCAUACUAACAAAUGUUUCUAACUAGAAGGUUAACAUAGGUAAUCUACAAAAUGAUUUUUUUAAAAAAUAGGACAGUAGAUAUUGUUAAGAAAAGAAGAAUAUAUGUAUCAGCUUGGUUCAAAUGCAACAAAAAUUGAGACUAGGUCCCUCCUUCCAGUAAUGUUCUGACCUUGCAAUUUUCCCUAGAACAGCCAUUUGGGGAUCCUGAUGCCAGCCUUAGGUGCUCCAGGUUAGUUCAGCCAGCUGGAUUCCUGCUGCACCCGGGCAGCUCAGAUAGGAUGACAUGUCUCCAGCUGAGUGGAUUUGGGUGAUGCUCUCCAUUGUGACCCCAUUCAUCCAAGUGUCUUCUGCUCGAGGACAGCCAGCUAAAAAGCACUUCUAUACACCUCCAAUCAAUUAAUGUCCAAUGUUCUCACCAAUUGGGAUAAAUGCCUCAAUUUAGAAUGUUUGAUGAAGGAGGAAUGUCUUUUGCAAUUGCUGAAAAGACAAUAAAGGUGUUUGUCUGAUAUAUAAUGGUGAGGAGUUGCAAAGGGCAGGAUCCGCCACACUAAAGGACCAAUUUUGCAGUGUGCGGAAUGGACAACCUCAUUGGUUGGUAUCUGUAGGGUUAAGGUUAUGUCCUACCUCCCUUCAAUCAAUCUGCCUAGGCCUAGAAAUCUGCAUCAGAAGGCCUUCACAGAAAAUCCACAACUGCAGCCUAAUCAGUGGGUUCAGUUUCCAACAGCACAAAAGAUCAUGAGAAAAACUACACUAGAAAAACUGCCUUCCUGGACAUUGUUAAAGGAAAAUAUAUUUUGUCUUGGAAGGAAGCUGACAAGCUCUCUCAGAAAAAGGCACGGGGGGGGGAAUGAGGGGAGGGCACUGUCUCAGAGCUGUUCUUUUGUAGCAGACAAAAGUAGAGCAACUCAUUACAGACUGGGGCAUGGUCAAAAAAUGAAAUCAGUGGACCAUCAGUCAUUUCUGGUUUGUGGCUUUCUGGUUUGUUGCCCUUUGCUGCCCCCUCUGGUUAUUUGUCAUAAAAUGAAAUGCAGUGAAGGGUUUUUGUCUGAGGUCUAGUGGGAUCUCACUCAGUGUGUCUCUCGCACAGUAAUAGACAGCCGUGUCUUCUGCUUUCAGCUUGUUCAUUUGCAGGUAGAAGUUUGAGCUGUCGGUUGAGGCUGUGAAUCGCCCUUGGAUUGUAGGGGAAUACCUAUAAUCUCUCCCAGCAUUAUAGUAGAGAACAAGCCAUUCCAAGACUUCUCCAGGUUUUUGUCGGAUCCAGCCCAUAUAGUCGUUGUUAACAUUAAACCCUGUGACAGCACAGGUGAGUUUGUGAGAUUCUCCAGGUUUCUUCAGUACUGAAUCCGACUGGGUCAGAACAAUUUGUGUGAGGGUGCCUGGAAUAGGAAGGAAGAAAAAAGAGCUGAAAUAGGAAAUGCAGCAGCCCACAGUUAUCACAUGAAACUCAUAAUGAAUGAAUUAAGGAAGGAAAAAGAUCUCGACAUACAUGGGAAAGAAGCAGCCAAUGCAAUGAGCACUGGCAGUAAAGACAGCAUAAUGGUGGGAUAGUCUGGAUCAGAAAGAGAUGUAAUGUGCCGUUGCAGGAAGUCUGGGUGGGGUGUGAGACUUUUAAGUCUGAAAAGGGAAACUACUUUUUGCAGCUUUGCAUAAAUCAACGAAUAUAAGAGGGUAGGAACCAAUAUAAUAUGCAACCAUAUCUCUUGUCUUUUCAUCAAGUGUGCAUUCAAAGUAUCUAUGCCACAGAUUACAUAGAAUGCUUGUCAACAAAGGUAUCAAACUCGGUAGGUGACAUAGGUAAUCUACAAAAUGAUUUUUUUUAUAAAAAAAAAGAACAGUAGAUUUUGAUGAAUAUAUGUAUCAGUCUGGUUCAAAUGGAAUAAAAAUUUAAACUAGUUUCCCCAUUCCUGCAUUGUCCUGACCUUGCCAUGUCCCAUAUAACAAAAUUUGGGGAGUCCUUAUACAAACUGUAGAUCCUCCAGCCUCUGUUCAGCCACCUGGAUUCAUGUUGUAUCCAGACAGCUCAGGUAGGAUAACAUUUCUCCAGCUGUGGAUUUGGGUGAGGCACUGCAUUCUGAUCCCAUUCAUCAAAGUGUAUUCUGCUCCAGGACUGCUAGCUGAGAAAGCACUUAUAUACAUCUCCUAUCAAUUUGUGUCCUAUAAUGUUUCCAGUUGGGAUAAAUAUCUCAUUUUAAAAUGUUUGAUGGAGGAAUGUCUUUAGCAGUUGCUGCCAAGACAACAAAGGAAGUGCCUGUCCGAUAUAUAAUGGUGAGGAGUUGCAAAGGGCAGGAGCCGCCACACUAAAGGACCAUUUCAACAUAUUGUAGAUUGGACAUCUUCGUUGGUUGGUAUCUGUAGGGGUUAGGUUAUGCCCUACAUCUCCCACUAAUCAAUCUACGAAGGCCUACAAAUCUGCAUCAGAAGGCCUUCACAGAACAUCCACAACUGCAGCCUAAUGGGUGGGUUCAGUUUCAAACAGCACAAAGGAUCAUGAGAAAAAAACUACACUAGAAAAACUGCCUUUCUGGACAUGGUUAAAGGAAAAUAUAUUUUGUCUUGGAAGGAAGCUGACAAGCUCUCUCAGAAAAAGGCACAGGUGGGGAAAAAUGAGGGGAGGGCACUGUCUCAGAGCUGUUCUUUUGUAGCAGACAAAAUUAGAGCAACUCAUUACAGACUGGGGCAUGGUCAAAAAAUGAAAUCGGUGGACCAUCAGUCAUUUCUGGUUUGUGGCUUUCUGGUUUGUUGCCCUUUGCUGCCCCCUCUGGUUAUUUGUCAUAAAAUGAAAUGCAGUGAAGGGUUUUUGUCUGAGGUCUAGUGGGAUCUCACUCACUGUGUCUCUCGCACAGUAAUAGACAGCCGUGUCUUCUGCUUUCAGGUUGUUCAUUUGCAGAUAGAAGUUGGAGCUGUCUGUUGAGGCUGUGAAUCGCCCUUGAAUUGCAGGGGAAUAAUAUUGACUGCUCCAACCUCUAUAGUAGCGAACAAGCCAUUCCAAUCCUUUUCCAGGUUUUUGUCGGACCCAACCCAUAGCGUAGCUGUUAACAUCAAACCCAGUGACAGCACAGGUGAGUUUGUGAGAUUCUCCAGGUUUCUUCAGUACUGGAUCCGACUGGGUCAGAAUAAUUUGUGUGAGAGUGCCUGGAAUAGGAACACAGGAAAAAGAGCUGAAACAGGAG